UACGAACUGUGCAAACGUUAUUCGGAAUCACUGGGCUUAAAGGGUGCGUAGGCGGCGAUUUAAGUAGGGUGUGAAAUCCCCCGGCUCAACCGGGGAACUGCGCUCUAAACUGGAUCGCUCGAGUGAGAUAGGGGUGUGUGGAACUUCCGGUGGAGCGGUGAAAUGCGUAGAGAUCGGAAAGAACACCAACGGCGAAAGCACUCUGCUGGGCCGACACUGACACUGAGAGACGAAAGCUAGGGGAGCGAAUGGG
rnacentral:rRNA from 1 species